UACAAUUGUCCUUCAUUAAUUGGUCACCAGAAUAGUGCUUUGAAACUCGUAAGAUCAUAAAUAAAAGUAAAGGAAAGCACAUAGGAAAAAAAAAACUUGGAAAAGAAAACAAACAGACUCAAACUGAGCAAAAAUGAAGAAAAAACCAGGCCUGAAAUCUCAUUUUUCUUCUCACUUAAAGUAACUUCUUUUGUGCAUCAGCCACUCAAGAGACCGAUCACCCAUGAACAACCAAAUACUAACUUUUCAAGCUCCAGUCUCUGUCACUCUCCCCUAGUUCAUCGGACCGACCAGGCGUCACAAAGUCCAGACUCAACAAUACCAGUUAUCCUCCAUCGUCACCGCUACUCCUAUCGCAGUUCACCAGUUUUUCCACCGCACGCAGUACCUCUUCCAUCCAGUAUCGGGGAUCUUCAUAUCUCUGCCCUUCCAACACCAACUCAUGUGCUGCUUUAUUGGCUUCCCUUGGUACAUAUUUGAAGUGCAAUCUUCUAAAUUUGGGGAUUCUCCCCUUGAUUUAUUGGAUCAAACUGUUAAUACAUGAUUUAUCUUCUUCUGCAAAGAUUAGUUUUCUGAUUAUAGUUAACGCGUCUCCCUCAACACAUAUAUCUUGAAAUCCCAUUUCUUCUGCCAUAGUAACAGCUUGCAAACACGCCCUCACCUCGGCUAUAGUCGGAUCUAAAAUAUUCUCCUAUGGGUAAGUAUACGAUGCCAUCACUAAUCCUUUCUUAUUCCGCGUAAUGAUUCCUGAAAAUGAUCUUCGAGAAUUCUGAUUAAAUGAAGCAUCAAAAUUAAUUUUUAUAACGUUAUCAGUAGGUGAUUUCCAGACAUUACUGUUAAUCUUAUGCAUGCUCUUCAAGAUCUCACCCCUAUGCUUUAUUUUUGUACAAUAUGCGUUGAUAAAGCCCACAAUUUCAUGAAUUCACUCCUGUUUCCUUUCAUGAUAAAUUCUGUUUUGGUUGUACCAAAUAGCCCAUAAAGAGAUAGUUCAGAUUUUGCAUUCUUCAUUACUAUGAUUCUCAAACUCUAAUGCUAACCAUUUUUUCCAAUUGGGUUCUCUGUUGGUUAUUGAAUUAAACACUCCCAACUCCCGCAAUACUUGUUGAGUAAAGCUGCAAUCUUGAAAUAGGUGGCUCACCGUUUCCUCUUCUACUCGGUAUACUGGACAAAGCGUAUUUAUCACCAGCUUACGAGCUCUCAGAUUAUACAGUACGGGCACAAAUUCGUUAGCAACCCUCCACAUAUGUAUACGAAUCUUGCUUGGCACCUUAAGAUCCCAUAUUUUUUUUGUAAAAAACUGAGUUAGAGAUUCAUUUUGUAUCCUAGUUCCUUUUGCUGUAUUUAGCCAUUUAUAACCACUUUUGACUGUAAAAAUCCCUGUAUUAUCACCUUUCCAUAUUAACGCAUCCGGUGGUUCAUUACUCGCCAACGGGAUUAAGAGAAUUCUCUGCAGCUGUUCCUCACCAAGUAAUGAAUGAAUGACAUCCUGUUUCCAGGUCUCGGCAACCAUGCGCCAUUCCAAAUAUUUACUGCCUUGCCAUCCCCGAUUCUCUAUUCGACCCCCUUCUCAAGGAGUCGUCUAGCUCUCCAUAUACUUCGCCAGGUGUAGGAAGCGUAAGAACCUACUCUUGCACUCAUGAAAUCCCCCAUUGGAAGUAUUUUACUUUCAUUAUGCGUGCAAACAAACAAUUAGGCUGCGUAAUAAUUUUCCACCCCUGCUUCACCAACAGGGUCGUAUUAAACGUUGAUAGUUCUUUAACAUCCAACCCUUCCUUUGUUUUGGGGAUACA